rnacentral:lncRNA from 1 species
UUCUUUCUAACUUGAUCGGUCUGUCAGUCUGACCACUUCGGUAUAGGAUUCUAAGCAGUAUGCCUUCUACCCUUUUUCGACCAUGGUCAAGUAUUCUCUGGGCAGCAAAAAUCAAUCUUCUUCCAGCAUCAUCCUGGGCUCUCGAACGAGAACCCUCAGAAACCUGCUUGGAAGCAGUACCAGCAUGAGCAUUCUUUGAAGGACCCAAUCAAUCCUUAACAGAUACUCAUUGUGUAGACGAAGUCAUAGCCAUCGGGUAUCCUUUAGAGGUAACUGUUCUACUCUUCUUCACCAUGGAUUCCGACGUAGAGCAGCUACAAUUUGUGAUUGAAAACUUCAAGAACACUAGAACACA